UGAACUAAAAAAGGAUAAUCUCAAGGUACGAGACUAGCAACAAUCGCCUCGCGUACUGCGUUCAUCUACCAUUACCAUUCACCAUUAUCACAUUAACAUUGAACAGAAUUGACAUAAGCAUUAUCACAUUGACAUUCUACCAUAAAAAUCAAUGUAACAACAUCUGCGUAUAGUAGCAAAUAGCACCAAUAACAUCAAUACCAUAGUAGCAUUGACAGUAGCACACAUACAAAAAAAUCAAGCAUCAAUCCAUCCAUCCAUUUAUCUAUCAGCAAGCAAAAAAAUUCAAGCAUCAAUCCAUCCAUCCAUCAGCAAUUGUUCAAGACUGCUGCUGUUGACAGCAAUUGUUCUGAAUCUUUGUUGCUUUUACCAGUUACAACAUUUGGCUCAAUCCAUCCAUCCAUCAGCAAUCAAUCCAUCCAUCUAUCUAACAGAUUCAAGCAUCAAUCCAUCUACCUAUGCAACAUAAAUCAGUCUAUCUAUCCAAUUUCGCAUAAGAUAAAUGAAGAACAGAGAGAUAGGAAACAAGAUGGCUCACCGUUGGUGUGGCCCGCUCCUCGCGUGGGCUGCUCGUGGAUGUCGAGGUGCAGCGCCGGUGGCUGUCCAGUUGCAGCUAAAGCCCGUCGGGGUCGCCGUGGAGGUGCAGCGCUGGUGGUUGCGGGCGGAGACAAGGCAGAGGGGUGGAUGAGCGGCGAAGGAAGAGGGGCGGCGGAGGGAGUUAUGGUCGGCGGCGGCGGG
rnacentral:lncRNA from 1 species